AGAGUUUGAUCAUGGCUCAGGACGAACGCUGGCGGCGUGCCUAACACAUGCAAGUCGUACGGGAUUUGGGGGCAACUCCAAGUUCAGUGGCAGACGGGUGCGUAACACGUGAAGAACUUGUCCGGUGGCGGGGGAUAGCCGGCCCAACGGCCGGGUAAUACCGCAUACGCUCGCGUGACGGCAUCGUUGCGCGAGGAAAGCAGCCGCAAGGUUGCGCCGACGGAGAGCUUCGCGGCCUAUCAGCUUGUUGGCGGGGUAAUGGCCCACCAAGGCGACGACGGGUAGCUGGCUGAGAGGAUGAUCAGCCACAUUGGGACUGAGACACGGCCCAGACUCCUACGGGAGGCAGCAGUGGGGAAUAUUGCGCAAUGGCCGCAAGGCUGACGCAGCGACGCCGCGUGUGGGAUGACGGUCUUCGGAUUGUAAACCACUGUCAGGGGGGAACGAAUACAGGGCGUCGAAUAGGCGACCCUGGGUGACGGUACCUCCAAAGGAAGCACCGGCUAACUCCGUGCCAGCAGCCGCGGUAAUACGGAGGGUGCGAGCGUUGUCCGGAAUCACUGGGCGUAAAGGGCGCGUAGGUGGUUCGAUAAGUCGCUGGUGAAAUUCCGGGGCUCAACUCCGGAGCUGCCGGCGAGACUGUCGGACUUGAGCACGGUAGGGGCAGAUGGAAUUCCCGGUGUAGCGGUGGAAUGCGUAGAUAUCGGGAAGAAUACCAGUGGCGAAGGCGUUCUGCUGGGCCGUUGCUGACACUGAGGCGCGACAGCGUGGGGAGCAAACAGGAUUAGAUACCCUAGUAGUCC
rnacentral:rRNA from 1 species